rnacentral:misc_RNA from 1 species
UGGUUUGUUUUGGGUGGAUGGCUCUUGCUUGUGCAACAACUUCCACCUAGCUUACCUCUUCAGUUAUUUGGUUAGGCUUGUAUUGCCUAAACUAAUCGUGGGUUUCUGUGCUGGCUACCUAAGAUAUGGUAUGGUAUUGAUUGAUCCAAGUCGCUUUCGUCUUGUCUCAUUCUUAUGGCACAAGACGAACCAGAAGGCAGUCUUUUUGUUCCACAUUGUUAAUGCAUGCGUUGAUGUUGUGGCACAUUGAGCGUUGCUUGGUAUCCUGUAUACGGAACAUGAAAGGGGCAUGUGGUCUCAUGAGAUCCUUCUUUUGCCCUCAUUCGGUGUAUGCGAAACUCUUAACACGACUUUCCUGCCUGAAAUUGGCUCGUUACCAGCGGGCGGGUUAUGUCAAAGAGGAAUG